GCCUAUCCCAUGAACGAACCGGCCACAAGAGAUUUCACGGUGACCGUUCCGGUCGUUGUGAAUGUUCGCUAAUUAGCUCGUCCUACCUAAAGACUGAAGGGAGACCUCUCUUUUUAAUUGCUUUUAAGAAUACAGGAGAAAAGAUAAAAAAAAGAAAAAAAAGAAUAACAAAUAUGUCUUAAGACUGUAUGGUUCCUUAAACGUGGUCUUCUGGUUAAGAAGCAUAUAUUUUGGAUUUCAAUUUUGGAGAGUAUAACUGUCGUAUGCAUUUAAAAUUAUGGUUUAAAAAAAUGAUAUAAUUGCUUGAAUGGGUGCUGUAUAAAAUGAACUUUGUAU
rnacentral:misc_RNA from 1 species